rnacentral:lncRNA from 1 species
UUUUAUUCCAAAAUUAGCUAACCUUUAUUUCUUGUACCAAACGAGCCCUGAACAUGGGGUUUAGGAGAUGGGGUUUUAGUGGCAAUCAAUGUCAAGCCCAUGCCCCAAAAAAAAACCGUACACACACAAACACUAUUUUUCAUGUAUCAUUUACUUGGCUUCAUUAUGUUGCUUAAGACAAACGUUCACUGUGUUGGGACUAGACAUAUACAAACACACAAACACACACAAUGCAAAACAUUUCUAUUUUCUGAUUAGGCUCCUUAAGCUUCUUUCUCUUCUUCUUUUGCCCCCUUUUCUUCCUGCCCCAAAUUCCUUAUAGACUUCAGUUGUGCAUUACAACUACUGAAAGACAUUUUUACUUCUGAUUUUUAAGGUUAGGACAAUAUUUCUCAUCAAAAUAAAGUCCCCCAUUUGAAAAACCAUCAAAGGAGAGAAGUAAACAAGGAGAAAAAAAUACUUAUGAAAGGGUACCGUGAUUGGUAAGGACUUCUUCAUCUUUAACAAGAUGUCUCGAAUUUAAUAUCUUAAAAUAAAGUCCUCUUUGAUUGGGAGCGGUUAAACUCUAAUAGUGGAUUUUUUACCAUGCGAAUCUGAAUUAGUUGAGCCCUUAAGUUUCAAGACAGUAUUUAUGGUACCAUCUCACCAUUUCAAGGCCCAAGUUUCUACUUUUCUUGGUUUAACUUUCAACAUUAUUAAUCCUCUCGAGCCGAGUCUUUCGAAACAGCCACUCUAUAUCACGAUAGGGGUAAGAUUUGUCUACAUAUUGUUCUCCUAAACUAGAUUUGACUGAGUUUGUUGUUGUCGUUGGUUUAACCUUCAACAUUCAUUUGACUCAAAAUGCACCAAAAAAGACAAAAUGAAAGACCCAUUUAAGUUUCUUGAAGAUGGGGAGCUUAAAAAAUCUCAUCUUUUUUUCUUGUCCUAAUACUAUGUAGGACUUUAUUCUGGUGCUGGAAGCUUAAGAAAAAACGAGUGGGGAAAAUUAUCAAACACCUUGUGUGCAAUGCAGGUUCCAGUGGAUUUUGGUACUGUAGAUUUCAAGAAAAUGUUAUUACUUCAACUGCAAAUGCAAAUGCAGACAGUAGGUUUUAUUUCCGGCUACUUUAUGGGUUCAAAAUUUCAACUUUUUCUGCUUGAAAUGGAUUUCUCCAAUUGUUGUUCCAUUUGUUCAUGAUUCCCGGCGGUUGACGGCGGCUCACGGUGGUGGCGGCGGCGAAGGGGGGUGGUUUGUGGUGGUGAUAUUGGCGGGGACGGCUCAAUCUUUCUCUUAAUGGUACCUUUUUGUAUAUAAUUUUGAUCUUGAUUUUAACUUUAAUUUUUCUACAUCGCCUUUUGGUUUUUAUUGUUAUUGUAGAAAAUUUGGAAUUUUAACUAUAUUAUCUUUUUGGCCCAUUUUCAAGAAGAAAAAAAUUAGAAUUAAAUUGGAUUAUGCAGCAUUAGCAAUUUAUUCAUUUUGUUUGUUUUCUAUGCAUAAAAAGGGAAUUAAAAACAUCAAAUUUAUGCUAAAUAGUUAUUGUUUUCCCCUUUUGUUUCUAUUUCAAUUUUUGUCUUCUUUUUCUUUUUUCAACUUUAAUUUUCUACAUUGCCUUUUGGUUUUAAUUAUUGUUGUAGAAAAUUUGGAGUUAAUUACAUUAUCUUUUGGCCCAUUUUCAAGAAGGAAAAAAAUUACAAUUAAAUUGGAUUAUGCAGCAUCAGCUAUAUAUUCACUUUGUUUUAUAUGCAUUAAAAAUGGAAUUAAAAACAUCAAUUUUAUGCUAAAUAGUUAUUGUUUUCCUCUUUCAUUUUUAUUUCAAAUUUUGUCUUCUUUUUCUAUUUUUUGAAAUUUGGAUCUUGAUUGUGGGGUUGUUGAACAGAGAGAUGGUGACACAACAAAAGCUAGUAGGUGAAAUUACUAGGUUUACACUUGCUAGUAGGGGUGUAUACAGGCCGGGUUCAUUCGGAUUCUACAGUUAUCAAACCAACAUAUGUUAACUUUUUAUUUAAUAGAGGUUGUUUGGUUAUAAUACAGGUUUAUGUCGGAGUAAGUUAUGUUGGGAUUAAUUAUGCUGGGAUUAUUUUUUAUUCAUUAUUUGGUAUGUUGUAUUAAAUAUGAUAAUUGCAUAAUUUGUAAGAAGAA